rnacentral:rRNA from 1 species
UACGGGGGGAGCAAGCGUUGUUCGGAUUUACUGGGCGUAAAGGGCGCGUAGGCGGUCACUACAAGUCAGUUGUGAAAUCUCUGGGCUUAACUCAGAACGGUCAACUGAUACUGUCGGACUAGAGUGCAGAAGGGGCAACUGGAAUUCUCGGUGUAGCGGUGAAAUGCGUAGAUAUCGAGAGGAACACCUGCGGCGAAGGCGGGUUGCUGGGCUGAUACUGACGCUGAGGCGCGAAAGCCAGGGGAGCGAACGGG